rnacentral:lncRNA from 1 species
UUUAAUGUGCAGACGAAGGGAACGUCAUCGUUUGGAAAGCGUCGCAAUAAGACGCACACGUUGUGCCGCCGCUGUGGCUCUAAGGCCUACCACCUUCAGAAGUCGACCUGUGGCAAAUGUGGCUACCCUGCCAAGCGCAAGAGAAAGAUAACUGGAGUGCCAAGGCUAAAAGACGAAAUACCACCGGAACUGGUCGAAUGAGGC